GCGGGCAGAAAGAUCUGUGUUUGUUAUUGUUUUGAUCAAGAUAGCAGAUCCUGCAUUGAACUCUAGUAGUAACUCAGUAAUAGGCUUUGUGCUAUUUUGAUUUAAAACAGACGAAAAGCGGGGUGAAAAAUUGUUGGAGAGGGAAUAAGAGGCAUAAUAUACGUUCACAUUCUGGGAAAACACAUGGCGAAUCCAGUACUACGACAGAACAACUACAGGAUUGCACAACCAGACUUUCUCUGCCACCAACCUAUAUUUUAUGGGAUGCUUACAAGUGAUAGGUCAUGGUCAAUAUCCAAAAUCAUUAUUUUAUAUUUUACUAUCUGUGCAAAAUUAAUUUGUCUGGUAACAUUGUAAUGUCAUGGUACUGCCAAUAAUAAUCUUAUAGAUACACUUCAAGAAAAUGGAAUGGUGUACAUUCGAAUGUGAAAACCCACUGUCAUAAAAUGUUUAUUGAAGUGUAUGACACUUGUAUCCCAUGUGCUGGAGUUACUGUUGUAAUGAAUGUGAUUUUUUAGUAUGACAUGUUAAAAACAACUGCAGCAAAAUAAAUUUGAUUAUUGCAAAAGGA